UUGGCGGACGGGUGAGAAACGCGUGAGCGACCAACCUUGCACAGGGGGAUAACGGACCGAAAGGUUCACUAAUACCGCAUGAGACCACGGUGUUGCAUGACACAGGGGUCAAAGGAGGAAUCCGGUGCAAGACGGGCUCGCGUCCGAUUAGGUAGUUGGAGGGGUAACGGCCCACCAAGCCUAUGAUCGGUAGCCGACCUGAGGGGGUGAUCGGCCACAUUGGAACUGAGAUACGGUCCAAACUCCUACGGGAGGCAGCAGUGGGGAAUAUUGGGCAAUGGGGGAAACCCUGACCCAGCAACGCCGCGUGAAGGAAGAAGGUUUUCGGAUUGUAAACUUCUGUCCUUGGUGAAGAGAAGAAGACGGUAGCCAAGGAGGAAGCCCCGGCUAACUACGUGCCAGCAGCCGCGGUAAU
rnacentral:rRNA from 1 species